rnacentral:rRNA from 1 species
CAGUCGCCACGGGAAUACAGAGGGUGCGAGCGUUAAUCGGAUUUACUGGGCGUAAAGCGUGCGUAGGCGGCUUUUUAAGUCGGAUGUGAAAUCCCUGAGCUUAACUUAGGAAUUGCAUUCGAUACUGGGAAGCUAGAGUAUGGGAGAGGAUGGUAGAAUUCCAGGUGUAGCGGUGAAAUGCGUAGAGAUCUGGAGGAAUACCGAUGGCGAAGGCAGCCAUCUGGCCUAAUACUGACGCUGAGGUACGAAAGCAUGGGGAGCAAACAGGAUUAGAUACCCGAGUAGUCCUGUCUCUUAUACA